UGGGGAAUUUUGCACAAUGGGCGCAAGCCUGAUCCAGCCAUGCCGCGUGAGUGAUGAAGGCCUUCGGGUUGUAAAGCUCUUUCACCCGGGAAGAAAAGGUUAGGGCUAAUACUCGCGRCCCCUGACAGUACCGUAACAAGAAGCACCGGCUAACUACAUGCCAGCAGCCGCGGUAAUUA
rnacentral:rRNA from 1 species